rnacentral:rRNA from 1 species
UACAGAGGUCUCAAGCGUUGUUCGGAUUCAUUGGGCGUAAAGGGUGUGUAGGUGGCGCGCUAAGUCGGGUGUGAAAUCUCGGAGCUUAACUCCGAAACUGCAUUUGAUACUGCCGUGCUUGAGGACUGGAGAGGAGACUGGAAUUCUCGGUGUAGCGGUGAAAUGCGUAGAUAUCGAGAGGAACACCCGUGGCGAAGGCGGGUCUCUGGACAGUUCCUGACGCUGAGGCACGAAGGCCAGGGGAGCAAACGGG